CCAAUGUGUACCAGACCAGUAGGCAGAGGAGGUUGUUUCUAAAAAGCCAGCAAGGAUGCUGACAGCUGACUUCACAGUAGGGAAAGAAUAUUUUGCUGUGUCACCUGGGUGAAAUUGCUCUCUGCUUUUCUUAAGUGUGAAAAACUGGUGGGAGGAUGCAUCCAUACCAAUGGGAGCUGCAUGGGUUGUAGGAGACUCUGCAGAAGUUACAGCAGGGAGCAGAGAUACUCUGUGCUGUCUUUAUGGCAGCAUUAAAAGGGUAGGGUGUAGGAUGCCUCCUUUGCUGGUUACUGCUCCUUCAGAUUUGAAGACAAAUGCAUCACACAGUAGUGGAAGGGAGCCCCAGACAGCUGUCGAACAUGGUUACACUCAAUUGAUUUUCUUAGGGAUGUAAUACCUCCAAACCAAUAAACCCAGUGGUGAUCUGAGUUGAAAUAACCUCUAGUUUUUGUAAGCAUGUGGAUAAUGGAAAGACAUGUCACUCAGGUACUGCCAUAUUCCUUAUUGCCAAGUCUUCCAGCAGCAAAUAAAAAUCAUGCAUCUGUUCUUCCUUUCCAUUUUAUCUUUGCUAUUGAAACACACUGGCAGCAGAGAAGUUUUAUUUGGUCAUAAUAAUUUCACAGAAUAUCAAGUGGGCAACAUGAACCUGAUCCUCUCUGUCCCACAUGGUGGGUCAAUGGAACCUGAAGACAUCCCUGAUCGAGAGGCUGGCUGUUGGGAUGCAGAGACAUCUUCUUGUAUUUUCUCUCAUGACUGUCCUCCUGGAAGCAUUCAAGACUAUAAGAACUGCAAAGUGUCUACCAACCAAGACAGGUAUACCAUAGAAGUGGCUCAGGUUCUUGCUGAAGAAAUCAACAAGAUUACUGAUGGCUUCUUCCCACAUAUCGUUAUAAAUCACCUACAGAGGUUCAAGAUGGAUGCUAACAGGGAAAAGGAAGAAGCUGCCUUUGGAAUUCCCCAAGCAGAACAGGCCUGGGAGGAUUAUAUGGGAUUUUUGACCACUGCAAAAUCACUGAUGACAAGGGGCCUGAUUCUAGAUAUCCAUGGACAAGCACAUCCUGAACAGUGGAUAGAACUAGGCUACACAGUUUCAAAAACUUCCCUUAACUCUGGUGUCUUUUCUGCGUCAUGUUCCUCCAUUAGAUAUCUGGCCAAUCAGCUAGUUAGCGUGUCUUUUGAGACUCUGCUUGCAGGGAACAGAAGUUUGGGUAAAUAUAUUGAAGAACAAAAUAACAGUUAUGUUUGUGUGCCUUCUCCAUCCAAUCCUAGCCCCAGUAAUGGGAACUAUUAUAGUGGUGGAUACAUAACAAAGACUUUUGGCUCCCGUGAUUCUGGUGCCGUUGAUGCCAUUCAGAUGGAGCUACCCCAGUGGGUUAGGGCACCUGAAGAGCGUCUCAGAUUCUGUAAAGCAUUAGCAAGAGCUGUAAUGAAAUUCUGGCAAACUAAUUACUGUAGCCAGUCCAACCAUGAAUUUCUGCCAUGCUGA
rnacentral:lncRNA from 1 species